rnacentral:lncRNA from 1 species
GAAACAGUGAAGCUCACAAAUUGUAUUUUGUUUUUGGCUAAUCACUGUGGCAAUACAGUUGUUAGUGCUCAUUUGGAGGACAACACAUUUAUACGGUUAUGCACCUAUUCAUUUUUUCUCUGCUUACAUAUCCAAACCACUUUCAUAGGAACUACUGAAGGGGAUAGAAUGGUAUUUCCAGAUUAUCCCUUAAUGCAGAGAAGAAAUAAUAAGUCUUUCAGACCAGUUUUAACUCCCUGAUUGUGGCAUCCAUCUAUUUUGGUACUAGUACCAAUCCUAGUAAGCCUGAUGCGCAUAAAGUAAAUUCAACUUGCACAAGCAAAAGCAAGUUGUUAUCACUGUGCUACAUGAAGGUUAUAUUGGAGAGGAUCCAUUGUAACUUCAGCCCUUCUUUUUUUUUUUUUUUUUUUUUUUUUGGUACUGACUGGCUGACAUCCCUACUAAUCUGGCUGCAGUACAAAAGUUCCACUUAUUUCCACACAAUUCAGAUCAGAAGCAGCAGGCCCAGUCACAGUGAGCAGCAUGGGGCCUCUCAGGAAGGGUACAGCUGCCACAGAUUCCUGGCUUAUCUGAGACUCACCAGCAUAACACCAGAUAGAAAGCUGAAGAAAUAAGAAAUGGGAAAAGGACUUCAUGUGGAUUUGAAUAUAUAUAUAUUACCAGAGAAGC